rnacentral:rRNA from 1 species
AGAGUUUGAUCCUGGCUCAGGAUGAACGCUGGCGGCGUGCUUAACACAUGCAAGUCGAACGGGGAUGCCAUUUUUGAAGCGAUUAGCUUGCUAAGAGUGGAAACGUUGGCAUCUUAGUGGCGGACGGGUGAGUAACGCGUGGGGAACCUGCCCUGUACAGGGGGAUAACACUUAGAAAUAGGUGCUAAUACCGCAUAAGCGCACAGUAUCGCAUGAUACAGUGUGAAAAACUCCGGUGGUACAGGAUGGACCCGCGUCUGAUUAGCUGGUUGGCGGGGUAACGGCCCACCAAGGCGACGAUCAGUAGCCGGCCUGAGAGGGUGAACGGCCACAUUGGGACUGAGACACGGCCCAAACUCCUACGGGAGGCAGCAGUGGGGAAUAUUGGACAAUGGGGGGAACCCUGAUCCAGCGACGCCGCGUGAGUGAAGAAGUAUUUCGGUAUGUAAAGCUCUAUCAGCAGGGAAGAAAAUGACGGUACCUGACUAAGAAGCCCCGGCUAACUACGUGCCAGCAGCCGCGGUAAUACGUAGGGGGCAAGCGUUAUCCGGAUUUACUGGGUGUAAAGGGAGCGUAGACGGUGCAGCAAGUCUGAUGUGAAAGGUCAGGGCCCAACCCCGGGACUGCAUUGGAAACUGUUGAACUGGAGUACAGGAGAGGUAAGCGGAAUUCCUAGUGUAGCGGUGAAAUGCGUAGAUAUUAGGAGGAACACCAGUGGCGAAGGCGGCUUACUGGACUGUAACUGACGUUGAGGCUCGAAAGCGUGGGGAGCAAACAGGAUUAGAUACCCUGGUAGUCCACGCCGUAAAC